UGGGAGCUGGACCCAGGGCAUCUGCACUGGGGUGGCCCCAGCCCCGUCUGCAGGCAGAGGGAGCAGAGGGUCCCACCAGCAGCUGGGUGGCACUCGGCUCUUCCUCCUGGGCUGUGGAAGGAGAUGUCAGAAUCCCAAAAGAUCAGAAAUAGCUUUCUGAAGGAAAAAAGGGCUUAAAAAGAGAGUUAAACCCGAAUGUUAAUUUUAACCAGGUCCUACUGAACUUCGGUGGCUGGAGCACUGCAGCGUGCGUGCUCCUUGUAGCAGCGAGGAGAGAUGAGCCCGGCGCGGGACCGGAAUAGCUGUGAAAUUCUGAGAAGUUUGGGUUUGGUUCCAAACUUUAUCACCGACCGCUGCUGCUGCAGCGGCCAAACCAGUGGCUUUGAUGUGAAAUCCCAAAUUCUGCAAGCAUCUGAGUCUGAACAUCGAGGGCUGGUUACAUUGCCAAUAACAGGCAAACUCUGUGUGAGCUCCGAAAUAACAGUGUACACUGGGGGCCAUGGAAAAGGAGUGAGGUCCUUUUCCCUUCCUGUUUUAAAAUCAAUGCAGACUUUACCAGAUAGUACUGUUUUCUCCUUUGCUUGCAGUACAAAGGCAGUGUUGAUGAAACUUUGGCAACUUGGGGGAUUGCUAAUGGCCCAAGAGUUUUUUGCAUGCCUGGACUGCCAGGUCACACUCAGAAUGAGUUGUGUGUGGCUUCGAGGGUAUUUUCGUGGCUCUCUUGUGGCUCCUGUGACACAAAUUUAGUGGCCAGCUACGACUUAACCUCCCGUCACUACUGCGAGCGCCCCAGGUUUUCGGUAGCAGUCUCAGCAGAGGAGCCAAGCAGAGAGGAGCCGUGCUGGGUCCCGUGGGGCUCCCGGCAGAACUGGGCACACUCUGGGCACAUCCCUCUGCCCAGGGAACUGUCCCUGCAGUGAUUCCUGCUCUCUGAGGGAACUAACCCCAUGCCUUUUCUGGCCACCCCUCUGUACACAUGCAGUAGCUGGAGACCACGAGGAUGGGAAGUUGUUGCUUCUCAGCUGGGAGAUGAGCAUCUUCCACUACCAUCCACAAACCUCCAUCCACCAGUCAAACUCGUUAGUAGCUUAAUGAGCCAUCUCGUCAGAGACAGCAAAGGUUACCUAGACCAAGAGUGGUGAGUAACUGUGGGGAGACGGAGUCCCUUGUCCUGGUGCUAAAACUUCUCUGCCUCUUUUUCUUUCCUGUCCAUCUCUCCAACGCUUCCUUUCCACUCCUUUUUCUUUAGACUCCUCCUGACUUGCUUGAAUAGAUCCAUUUUCCUGAGAUCAGUUGCAGCAAUUUUGCAGGUUCAUGAAAGCAGGUUGCACCGGAGGCUGGUGGACCCCAGUGUGGUGUCUGCAGCUGAGCACGCUGGAUCGUCAGCGCAGCCUCGUCACAGCCUCUGAUGCCCAAAUGGUGCCUCUGUCCCACAGGUUGUCCCUGAAGCUGUGAGGUGACCACCUAAGCUGAUCACAGAUAAAGAUCAUCCAGAAAACUCCGAAGAGGCGAGAAGCCAGCUAAACCCGGGAGUCUUUGAAGAUUUUGUCAGACUUCAGUUAAUGAGAUCAGUGUCUCCUGAAUCAGGCUCGGGUGUGACUCAGCUGUGAUCAGACAGCAUCACCUCCUGAUGGGCUCAUUUCCCAUUCCCACUUUUGACUGCAGCCACCUGGAUAGAGCAAGUCACUUCCUAGGCAGUUCAGACACUAAGUAUGGGAACGGAAAGCACUUACAACAGGUAAAAUAUUUUUAAGGAAUUCAGGCUCUGGCUUUCCUCCACUCAUUGCCUGUCCUGAGGGAUUCCUGAAGCGCCCUGUACUUGGUGCCGGGCUGACAGGCACGGCUUUGGGGCGAUCCAAGAACUGAGCGAGCGUGCAGAGUAAACAUCUCUCGGAUAAACAGGGAUUUUAUACAUUAUACGUUUGAGAGACCCACUGCGUGGGAUGGAUUUCCUCACCCAGGAAAGGAUUAGAGAUCAGCAAGGGGCUUCCUCGUGCACUGGUUGCUCCAGGAGCUGCAGCACAGUGGGUCUGGGGUUAUCAUCAGCACAGCCAGCCUGCAAGGGCUGCUUUCCCUUCAAAGGGCUGGCAGCGCAAGGCAUGGCUCGAAUUCCUUGGACUAUGGAUCCGCUUAGAAGGACUUAAGUGAUUA